UGGAGGGGGUUUAAGGAGGGGCAUCCUGAACAAAUAAAGGCACAUCACCACUGUCUCCUCUCAACAGAGAACAGUUUUUUUUUAUUCCCAGAAGCAUCGAUUUAGAUCUAUUCAAAAUUCGAAAAUGUCUGGUUUUAAAAAAGGUGGAAUUGAUCUAAAUACUUCCAACAUAGUGAAACAAGGAACAGAUGCCGCAAAGGAAACUGCCCACCAGUGUGCAGAAGAGGGCCAAAAAAUUGCUCAAGAAGCUAUAGACAAAGGAUGUCAGGCUGCGAAAGAUGCUGGUGAUAAGGCAACAGCAAAAGUGAAAUGUGGCUUCAAGAAGUGAAUCUAUGUACAGAGCUGGCAUUUUGUUGUUUAAAUGAUUUAUCAAAUUAAACCAUUUUAAAUAUAUUUCCUUUGAUUAAAUGUACAAAAUCCCAAAUCAAGUAUCAUGAUGACUUGCAAAUAAAGCCUUAAGUCUA